CCAACUGCACACAACCGUGUGAUGUUUUGGUGAUCAGAUAUGCAGAGUUCUUUAAAAAACGUAAAAAGAAAAAAAUAAAAGGUGGGUAAAAACCGAGAUCUCCCGGGCAGUGGAUAUGUCUCGGUUGAGCCAGGGAUUCAGAAUGAAAUCUUUUCUUUUUUAAAUAAACGGAAGAGUCGUUCUCUGCUCCUCGCUCAGAAGGUUUCAAAGGUCGUCACACUGAAGCCCGGGGGCGUUCAUCUCCCCAGCGGCCGGGAGAAGGGAGGAGGUUGGAGGGAGGAGGGAGGGAGCACACAAAAGCGGGCCGUGCUGAGAGGGCUAAUGUUUCCUGUUUGCCUGGAGCCCCCUCCCCUGCCUCCCCUCCC
rnacentral:lncRNA from 1 species